GUGCUGCCCUGCGAGUGCACCAGGAUGCUGCAGCCACAGCAUUACUGCGGUCCCCAGGGUGCCUGUAAGGGACACAGCCCUUGUCGUGCUGCCCUCCCUGCCUGAAUAAAAGAGCUUUCUCCAUUCCUCUGACACCCAGUGAAGAUCUGCCCUGAGGGUGGUUUCACCGAGCACCAAAGACCAGCAGUGAAGACCUGUAGACAUCCUCUCUUUACCAGAUAUGAAAUGGGGUUUUGAGUCCAGGAGCCUGGUUAAUAGAGGCAAUACCAGAAAAGCUUAACACAACUAAUGACGACCCUAUAAUGACAAAAACUGAGACUCAGAAGAGCUUACUAGGAAAAAGACCAGCAAAAGCUGAGCUGCAUGCUGCAGUCGAUAAGGUUUUAUAUUAUAGUCCCUGUUAUGUACACUAGUCUGGAUGAAUACUUUGCAUUAAGAUGAACCAGCCACAAGGUGUCAAUAUAGCGCAGGAGAUUCUUACUACGGUUUUGCUACUACAGCAUCAUUUGACUGUAGGAGGGAGCAGACCCAUGACAGAGACUAACAGAGACACUACAAAAGAAACAUGGAGUAGUCCUUAGAGAGACCUGUGAAUCAUUCCCGUGGCUACUGUUAUAAAGGAGUUGAUAUAAAGAGCCAAAUCUGCUGGAUGUGAAUGUGAUCAAAGACCAAACCUCGAUGCUGCAGCUACUCCUUCUCUUACAACUGAACCUAAAAUAUAAGUUCAUUGGCUUUACAAUAGUUACUCUAAAUUUCCACGUGUGGAUGUGAGUGGAGAGUCAAGCACAGCAAAUAUUAAGCACAACUUAAAUAAAACUAAAUAAAUCUAACAGGCAUUUCCAAAACACAGUAUGAAGAUUAAUAGGGAGAACUGCUUGAAUCAAAGCAAAAUUUCAUUUCGGUCCAACCGGCACAGUUCAUGUUAUCAAACUACAUACCACUCCUCAUCAUUUUGAAACAGGGAGUAAAGAUACGAUGAGAGUUUAUAGUACGCAUUAACAAGGAGAAAACAAAUUCAUAGGUGUCAACAUCAAAGCGGCUUAGAAAGAAAAACUUGAAUACAUUUGCUUUUGAACUACUGGAGACAAAAUACUCUGUCAGUCCCUGACUGAAACGCCCUGGUUGCAGUGCGUAUCAUCACAGUAGGUGCCUGACUUAUGUCAGAUAUGAUAUUUUGUGAAAAACUGCAGAGAUAAUGGAAUUGCCAGAAGAUCUCUGUAACGAGGUUUCAGCGCAAGGGGGAUGACUAAUCACCAUGUCAUGUGCAGGACCUAAAUGGAAAGGAUCAUAGCACACUCUCAAAGUUAGGAUCAGUACCAAGAGGAAUUUGGGGAAUACAGAAUGUAUUGAUAAUGAGCUCACAUCAACCAAGCGCAGCUCCAGAAAGCACACCCAUGUCAAGCAAAAAUGUCACUCAAGGAGCAGAGUUUGACUGGUAUAAAACAGGUGAGACUGCGCAGAGUAUCAAAGUUCACAGGAGAACUCCCUGAAAAGGAAAGAAGAGGAAGGCAUUUCUGUUUCUCAAUAAUGUUCGGAAAACACACCAGGAGGACACUAACGUUACACCUGACUUAAUAAGAGAUGGAGACGUGCACCAAGGGUGCUGGCAGAGCAGCCCUUCCCUGGAGCCAAGAGCAGCGCUGCCGGAUUUGGGAGCCAGGUUGGAAAUUGUCCCCACGGUUCGUCAUGUCCGAGGGUAGUGCAUCAAAGAGAUUUGGUAAUUAACAUAAUCAUUUCUCCUCAUACUAUGAGCCAUAACUGUUGCCUUUCCAGGAGCGUUACCUGCAAUUACCUCGCUGAAAUGUUGAGCUAUAAAUAACUGUCAGAAGGAGCUUUCUACAAAAGGUCUCAAAGCGCUGAAUGGCAGGUGAACGGAGGCUGGUUCAGACUGUCCUUACGCCGUGCCGACAGAUGAUAUAUUUCAGAAGAAAAAAUAAAUAAAUUACACAGUGAAAUACGGAGACUUCAAGAAGUUUGAGGUAACGUAGAUUUGUGGACAACUGCCAGCCAUACUUUGCCCAGGAUAAAGAAAAGCAAUGCAGAAUUAUACUCCAUCAUUCACCAGACUGCUUAAGUUCUUUUUACUUAAAUAGAAGCCCAUCGUAAUAUUACAGAAUACUUUAAAAAUGUCCUGUAAUUAGUUUCCAGAAGUAAAUUAACUAACAGUAGAUGAAUCACAGACUUUUUUCUGCACACCCCAGGCCGAUGAACCCUCAGAGAUGCUUGAACCUGGAAAAGUCACAAUCGAAUGCAGCCUUGCCAGCCCUGUACAACAUUCUCACAAUCAGGGCCUGGCUUUCAUUCCUUCAUCUCUCUGUCUCCAAAGACAUCCACUCCUCUUGGCAUGAUACUUGUCUUGCUUUUUCAGGAGUGAUGUGGAAGUAUAGCAGGGUUGUGCAUGGCUCAGCUCAGCUUCCAGCUGCCUUUGAAGUCAAGAGAACGGCAGACUGUGCAUGUUAGAGCAUUUCUCUUACAGCAUUUCCCAAAAUGGUGCUGCUUGCGAGCUUGCCAACACUAAGCAGUUACUACUUUAGCGUACAGGACAGCAGCAGCUGCUGGGCACAUGCCAAUUCUUCUAUUAAAUAUCAACAGCACCGCCACCUGAAGCCACCAGGAACACAGCAGAACUAAGAGAAA